rnacentral:lncRNA from 1 species
AGGGGUUGCUUUGUUUGUUGAUACAAACGGUCUCCACGCAGUGCGCGGGCUCGGCGAGGCUGGAAACCCUAUCAAUAUUUUGGUGACACCGAGUUACUAAGCUGCUGUCAAAGCCCGCCGAGAAAGGGAGCAGAUCCUCUCCCCGGGAGCAGCUUGCUCCCUUAACUCGUGGCUCUCUGCUUCGAGCACGUUUUUAUAUUUUGUGACACCGCCGUGCAGCAUUGGUAUCUAGUCCUAUUUUGUGACAGAGAGGGUUGAAGUUGAUGUGCUCUCCCCUUCCUCCUGGGGGUGCUGAGCUGGCCGGGCUCCUCCUGGCCUUUGGGGACAUGGUGCCGGGCCGCGGGCUGCCCGCCGGCUGGGUGCAGCAGGCAGGAGGCUUGGCUGAGGGCUGCCUUGUUUGUUCUCCUCUCCCUGCCUCGACUCAGAGCCUUGGCAGUCCCUGUGAAAAUGCCUGGGGGUUAGAAAAGUCUGAAAAUGUGUUUGUUUCAAAUACUUGGCUGGGCUUUUUCUAGGCAGGGUUCCCAGCACAGGUGUGAACUUUUUUUUGGGUGCUGUUUGUAAUGCAAACACAGCGAAGGAAGCGCUCCCAUAUUCUGCCUGGAUUUCAUAACGCUCCGGCAUUGCUAUUUUUUUUUUCUUUACCUUAUAGCCCUUGGCAAUGUUAGUUUUACUCCUUAUUUAUUCAUUUAUUACUUAUAAACCAUCCUCCCUCCUGUCCCCAAGCCACCUCUGAAUGCCGAUGGAGCACUACAUCCCCAUGCAUGGACGCAGCUCUCACCCCGGAGCUAUUUGCCAUCCUUGUGCAAACGAAAGGAAACAACAGGUUUCAUCAGCCUGGGAACCUGUGCACGCAGGAGUGUUUUUCCUGCUUUCAAGCUCAAACCACCUUCACACCUGAAAUCCCAGCGGAGCCUGCCUGAGGCCAGCAUCCCAUACGAAGCCAGGAGGGACAGUUCUGUCAGCUCUGCUCGGAAGAACUGUCUUGAAUAUCCCGCAGGCUUUGGUGAGAAUUUUAGAAAGUCUGUCAACAUUCGUAUUUCUACACACAUGUACGUAGCAUUUCUACAUGAGGCAAAGUCAGAGUAUGCCAUUACAUAUUUGCUUUUUAACAGCAGGUUCGCUGUCACUCUACAGGCAAAAUACCCUAUGCAGCGUCUUACUACUGGAGGCCUGGAGACGAGGAGAUUACGGCAGGUGCUAAGCAGAUAAUAAGGUCACAAGUUUGGUGAGUUGUGUCACUCUUACCGACCUAAACUUUCAUCCCCUUUUUUAGUGCUACUCAAAUGUGCUCUUUAAAAGUUUUGAAUUUCAUCAGACAUCACAGAAGUUAUCCUCAUGGUGCUUUCAGAAAGACUGGUGGUAGAGGCUUGCUGUCAUCACAUCGUCGUCUCGUCCAAGUGGCUGAAUUGCUAUAUGUUAAAGCUCUGGUUAGACCGAGGAAAUGCUCAUAUGUAUGCUUCUAAGGACAACUUGCUAUAAGCCUGUAAAAUGAAUAAGAUGGAUGAAGAGGGCUUAGGUUUGAACCAGUCUUUGGGUCCUCCUCACGCCUUGAAGUCUGUCUGGCUGAUAUGGCUACGUGCAACGGGUAAGAACGUUGGGUCUAAGUUAUGAAAACAGCUGCAGCACAGGAUGGGUCUUAAAUCUCCCCUGGAUGUCCAUAUGCGUGUAUGCAUGUAUCAACCAGCCGUGUCUUCCUGCUUGACAUCCAGCUGUUCGCCCUGCUAGGCAAAGCUUAGUAAACUAUUUCCAGCAAAUUUGAGUGGAAUUUGAUAAAUAGUUUCAGGCGAUGUAUUGUUUGAGGUGAAUUUUCUAAGGAUUUAAACCUUCUGCUAAUAAGUCUUUAAUCAUGAAUUUUUGCUUUGAUAUUAGUUAUUUUCCAGCACUGUCUGAAGCAGUGAGUGGAGUAAUGGGCCAUUUUGACUCUACAUUUUAAUAUACUUCAUAUUUGGCGAUGCCCAAGAAAAAUGUCUUCAUCCUAAAUUGUCAUUUAAAAAAUACCAGGGUGACUGUUAAUUGUGGCCACAGUGGAAACCGUAAACCAGCAAAAAUAAGGGUUUAAGAAACAGGAAUGCUAAUCAAAAAGGGGAUCCAUUUAAGUUUUCCUUAAAUUUUUCCUUAAACUUAGUGCAAGUAUUUUCCCAGGAUGGAGAAGUGCUCAACUGGGUUAUUAAUUUAUACAUGAGCAAAAGAGGUUUAAGCAUUCUCCUUG